GUAUACAAAUGGGAUAGAAAAGAGUAGGUAGUACUAAACACUCUACAUGUAUACCAAUGGGAUAGAAAAGAGAAGGUAGUACUAAACACUCUACAUGUAUACCAAUGGGAUAGAAAAGAGUAGGUAGUACUUGAUACUCUACAUGUAUACCAAUGGGAUAGAAAAGAGUAGGUCGUACAAAAUACUCCUACAUGCACAUUCCAAUAGGAUAUAAAGCAUUAUAGACUGAAACGACAGCAGUUAUUUCGAAUAAAAAAACUAUAGAAUAGGCAAUAGUAAUAUGUCCUGUGGUUUAAUUCGAACAAAAGGUAUAUAUGGCAUCAUAUAAGUCGACCCUCCUCUGAGUUUUAGUUUGUGUUACUUUUGAUGGCAGUUACAGAUGCGAAAACAAUUUUUGACUGGUAUUACAUUUUUUGAAAUGGUGUUACUGUAUGUCCAUAGGACGUAACAUAUCAAAAGUUUAGUUAGGUGUGGAUUUUAGAAACGUUGAUGACUUGCUGAACAAUGAGGUAUUCGAACAGACGUGUUACGUGUUAUAGUUUCUAUACACGAAUAGUUAUUGUGUCACUACAAGUCGUGCAGUUAAUAUAGAUUUAACAUUAACACUAUUGCUGGUAGGAAACCACGUUUAUAUCAUUAUUUGCUCUUUAUUGUAAUGGAACUGUGGUGAAAGUAUAAACAUAGGUAAUCCGGAUUGUGCAUAAACUUGUGGACUCGUGAACGACUACUGCAUAAACGUUCGGUAGGAUUUCAUAAAGUGUAUCGUAUUUAUUACUCGCAUUAUAUAAAAAAUAAUAUAUAAAUAUAAAUUUGUAUGUGGAAAAAAACCUGCAUUUCAGUGAAAAAUCUCUAUCUUGCUAAAAGAAACAAAAUAUUUGAAGAUAAAAAAAUAUAUAUAUAUUGGUAGUAAUAUAAGCGAACGACGUCUUUAAGAUAAAAUGUUUUUGUUGUAUAAAUAUUUCCAAAUUCGAUCUAGUUUCGAGAGACUUUGUGGAACAACUUAACUAGAGUAAAUAAAAUUGGAUAUGAUUUGUAGAAUUGUGACGAAAGUCCAUAGAGUACUCGCCAAAGAACGAGCCCAAGACAUUAGGUAAUUGUGCAAGGACUUGGUGUGACAACAUAUCUCCAAAGAAUCACACAGGAUGAUAAUCUGUACAUAUAGGUACCACUUAUAAUUCUAUGCUUAUUGAAUCGUCAAACGGAAAACAAUAGGCUUAUUCUCCAUUGUUUGAUUGAAGCUGUUGGCAAUGCCUGUAAAGAAACAUGAAGCAAGAGAAUUCAUAAAAAAAAGUCCUACGGCGAGACAAUCUUGUUAACUUGCUUCUUAAUCAUUAUCCUGUCAGUGAUCAACAGUCGGGUGCGCAUAGCUCAUGUAAAUACACAUGGUGGAGAUCAUAUGAAUGGUAAACAGAAUUUGAACGCUCGAUCCUUUGAUUGUGACAAAUUUGCUUUAUCCCCUUAUGUAUUGCAUCCAACAUACAAAACAUUUGUCUACCAUAUUAAUAUGUACUCUGUUCGAGACCGGCAUGAUAAUAUCAUAGAACAAAUUUGAAAAUACUGGUUAAAAGUGUGGAAAUUAUUGAUGAAAUUUGUAUUUUGUAAAGUACCAAAUUAUACAAAAAGUAACCGUUAAUAUUCAAACAAAUAAUACUAGUAGUUUUAGAUUCAUAGCGUGCAUUAAUUCCCCCCCCCCCCCCCAGUUUGAAUACAAUAAGGAAUUCCAGAAUACCUUAGACGAUAAGAUGUUUGGAUGAUAAACCAAAGAUAGGGAGUAGGUUUAACACUGAAGUAAGUUAACAUGCCUUGUCAAAUUUUAAUGUGACUUUUUUGUUAUUAUCUGUUAGUACUGUUAUUUGCCAAAUGGUUGAUGUUGUUGAUUGAAUGAGCGCAUUUUAAUGUUGUUAAAAUACUUUUAUGAUAACCAGAGAUAUUUACAAUUUCCCGUAAAAUGUUUUCCUAUCGAUAACGUUGCUACCGUUAUCAUAGUGAUAUGUAUUUCUUUUCUGACAAAAUUAUUUCUUUAACUUAAUAAGAAAAACUAUAAAAUUCCGUUUUUGUAAUAUUGAAAAUAAAGUCUAAUCGCUCUUGGAUUUAAAGUAUGUGUGUUUUAGCUCAUUUAUGCUGGUUGUAAUGAUAAAUGAAUACUUUAUGAGAAAUUCGUAUACCUCCUUCGUUGACAGAGCAUAUUGUAUUGUUUUCUCUUCGAUCAAAAUUACAACGAGACCUCAAGAGUAGAAAUCAUUGCAUUGAAGAGGAAACACUAAACUCAGUUUGAUUAAUGUCCAACGAUAUUUUCACGCAAAUGAUUAUAUAUAUAUACACUACUGUUUCAUACAUUUCACAUUUCAAAGGUUAUCUUUUGGGUGCGUCGGCGGUGUGUUGUAAUUGUAUACGACAAUAUCCACCAAGCAAAGAAAUUUAACGAAUUCGAGUUCAACUGUUUUUGUUUUUCAGAUGUAUAAAUGUCUUAACUGAACGAACAGAUUAUGAAAGUCAUUUCUGUUUGUAAAAAGAAAUGUGAUGUCACGUAUCAUGAUAAAAGGCUGUAUUUGAUUUUCUUAUGAUUGUAACUUCAGGCAAUAAAACUUGCUUAUG